rnacentral:ribozyme from 1 species
AAAAAAACACAAGAAGUGUCACAACAGAUGAAGUUAUCUAUUAUUAUUUUUUAAAAUUCCGAGCACCAAAGCAAAGCAAAACAAUCACACACUAAUUGAUGCUGAUUAUUAAUU